GUGUGUGCAUAUAAUGUCCAGCUUAAAAAAAGUAAUUCAAAAUAAAUUAAUUUAUGUGUCUUGAUUUAUAGAGUACAUAUUAUGUAUAUGAUUUCAGCUUAUUUUGAAAGUUACAGGUCACAAAAUAAAAGGACUAAAAUACAAUUUCAGUGUGAAGCAAUUUUAGAAGUUGGUAUGUGUGACGGGACCAAUCUUGCCACAUUGCAUUGGAGAAGCCUGGUUGCUCGCCUGCUGCCUUUGGACUAUGGCCCCAUGUUAAAAGACUUUGUUUCGCCUGCAGAAAAGCUUUAUUCAUGCUUUUCUGCCGGUUGUUUGGUAGAUUCAAUCUACCGAACAACCGCACAAAUGAAUAGACCACCUGGGAGCUGGAGUGUGCCGGCAAUUAACCUCCCUGAAGCUGCAGUUAACUGCAGCUUAAUUGACGAAUGCUGGGUGGCCGCCAUUCGUAUCCCGAACACGAGGUCGCGGACAUUUUAAACAUACGAAUGCACAGCGGUGUUCGACGCUUAAUUCAUGGAACUAAAAUCGGACACAGUUUUGCGCGAACACCGCUGAAGCUGCCG